UGGGGAAUAUUGCACAAUGGGCGCAAGCCUGAUGCAGCCAUGCCGCGUGUAUGAAGAAGGCCUUCGGGUUGUAAAGUACUUUCAGCGGGGAGGAAGGCGAUAAGGUUAAUAACCUUGUCGAUUGACGUUACCCGCAGAAGAAGCACCGGCUAACUCCGUGCCAGCAGCCGCGGUAAUACGGAGGGUGCAAGCGUUAAUCGGAAUUACUGGGCGUAAAGCGCACGCAGGCGGUCUGUCAAGUCGGAUGUGAAAUCCCCGGGCUCAACCUGGGAACUGCAUUCGAAACUGGCAGGCUAGAGUCUUGUAGAGGGGGGUAGAAUUCCAGGU
rnacentral:rRNA from 1 species